GACGGAGGGGGCUAGCGUUGUUCGGAUUCACUGGGCGUAAAGGGUGCGUAGGCGGUCGGGUAAGUCUGGCGUGAAAUCUCCAAGCCUAACUUGGAAACUGCGUUGGAUACUAUCCGGCUCGAGGAAUGGAGGGGAGACUGGAAUACUUGGUGUAGCAGUGAAAUGCGUAGAUAUCAAGUGGAACACCAGUGGCGAAGGCGAGUCUCUGGACAUUUCCUGACGCUGAGGCACGAAAGCCAGGGGAGCAAACGGG
rnacentral:rRNA from 1 species